rnacentral:tRNA from 1 species
GAGAAGUUAGUUAAAUUAUAACAUUAGUAUGUCAUACUAAAAUUAUUAGUGAUUCUAGGCCAAUACUUUUCA